AUGUUUUCUAUCUAGCCUAACAACCCCAACCGCCUACCAAACACUCACCUUCAACUAAUAAAACAUUUAUUUUACUAAGUAUAUGAGAUAAAAAAGUAUAAUAGAGCUUUAAAAUAGUACCGUAAGGGAAAGAUGAAAUAAAUGAAACAUUUAAAAACAUUAAAUAGCAGAGACCUUAACUCGUACCUUUUGCAUCAUGGCCUAACAAGUCCAAUCAGGCAAAACGAAUUUAAGUCUGACCCCCCGAAACUAAGUGAGCUACUCCGGGGCUACUAAAUGUAAGCCCGUCUCUGUCGCAAAAGAGUGGACAGACCCCUGAGUAGAGGCGAAAAACCUAUCGAACUUAGUAAUAGCUGGUUGCUUAGGAAAAGGAUUUUAGUUCUUUCUUAAAAAUACCUUAUCACCUCAUCCAAGAGAGCCUUAUUUUUAAGAAAUUAUUCAAUAAAGGUACAGCUUUAUUGAAGAAGGAAACAGCCUAAACCUUUGGAUAAUGAUUAUAACACCCAAGGAAAUUAAGACUAGUCGGCCUAAAAGCAGCCACCUUCAAUAGCGUCAAAGCUUCACCUCAAUCUCCUCCCUUAAUCCCACUAAAAUAUCAAAAUCCAAUAUUACUACUAAGCCAUUCUAUAAUUUUAUAGAAGAAUUUAUGUUAGGAUUAGUAACAAAGAAUAAUUUCUCUUAUAUAUAAGUUUAAAUCAGCUCGAAUACCUCCCUGAUAGUUAAUCAACCCUGAAUUCAUAGUAAUAACUUCUCCCCCUCCAAAAACCCUACUUUAAUAAUUGUUAAUCAGACACAUGAAUAUAAAAGAAAGAUGAAAAAAUUAAGAAGGAACUCGGCAAACACAAAUCUCGCCUGUUUACCAAAAACAUCGCCUUUUGAAAAAUAUAAAAGGUAACGCCUGCCCAGUGACUCUAUGUUCAACGGCCGCGGUAUCCUGACCGCGCGAAGGUAGCGUAAUCAUUUGUCUUUUAAAUGGAGACCUGUAUGAAAGGCAUUACGAGGAUUUAACUGUCUCCUUAAUUUAAUCAGUGAAAUUGAUCCCCCCGUGAAAAAGCGGGAAUAAAGCCAUAAGACGAGAAGACCCUAUGGAGCUUAAAACCUCAAACUACUUGUAUAACCUGCCUAUUAACAAGCACUAAAGACAAACCUAGUUUAAGUUUUCUGUUGGGGUGACUGUGGAGAAAAACUAAUCCUCCAUGAAGAAUAAACUUAGAGCUACCACCCUAAGUAUUAGUAAACCUAACUUUAAUUGAUCCAAUCUUUGAUCAACGGACCAAGUUACCCUAGGGAUAACAGCGCUAUCCAUUUCAAGAGUCCCUAUCGACAAAUGGGUUUACGACCUCGAUGUUGGAUUAGGACAUCCUAGUGGUGAAGCCGCUACUAAUGGUUCGUUUGUUCAACGAUUAAAGU
rnacentral:rRNA from 1 species